rnacentral:rRNA from 1 species
CACGUAGUUAGCCGUGACUUUCUGGUUGGAUACCGUCACUGCGUGAACAGUUACUCUCACGCACGUUCUUCUCCAACAACAGAGCUUUACGAGCCGAAACUCUUCUUCACUCACGCGGUGUUGCUCCAUCAGGCUUGCGCCCAUUGUGGAAGAUUCCCUACUGCUGCCUCCCGUAGGAGUAUGGACCGUGUCUCAGUUCCAUUGUGGCCGAUCAGUCUCUCAACUCGGCUAUGCAUCAUCGCCUUGGUAAGCCGUUACCUUACCAACUAGCUAAUGCACCGCAGGUCCAUCCCAGAGUGAUAGCCAAAGCCAUCUUACAAACAAAGCCAUGUGGCUUUUGUGUUAUGCGGUAUUAGCAUCUGUUUACCAAAUUGUUACUCCCCCGCUCCGAGGCACGGUUACCUACGUGUUACCUCCACCCGUCCGCCACUCCACUGGUCGAUCCCAACGUCAAUCGAGGUGACAAGCACCAUACAAUUGUUCGGCCAGGUCGCGUAACCG